UACGGGGGGAGCAAGCGUUGUUCGGAUUUACUAGGCGUAAAGGGCGCGUAGGCGGCGUGACAAGUCACUUGUGAAAUCUCCGGGCUUAACUCGGAGCGGCCAAGUGAUACUGUCGUGCUAGAGUGCGGAAGGGGCUACUGGAAUUCUCGGUGUAGCGGUGAAAUGCGUAGAUAUCGAGAGGAACACCUGCGGCGAAGGCGGGUAGCUGGGCCGACACUGACGCUGAGGCGCGAAAGCUAGGGGGAGCGAACGGGG
rnacentral:rRNA from 1 species